UUUUUAGUGGCAUGUCCUGGACCCGAAGCGGGGUGAUCUACCCAUGGCCAGUGUGAAGCAGCUGUAAGAGGUUGUGGAGGCGCGAACCCACGUAGGUUGAAAACUGCGGGGAUGAGCUGUGGGUAGGGGUGAAAGGCCAAUCAAACUCCGUGAUAGCUGGUUCUCCCCGAAAUGCAUUUAGGUGCAGCGUCGCAUUAGCUUGGUGGAGGUAGAGCUACUGGUUGGUUGAGCGGGACUACAAUCUUAGCAAUGUCAGCCAAACUCCGAAUGCCAUUAAUGUGUUGUGCGGCAGUGAGACUGUGGGGGAUAAGCUUCAUAGUCGAGAGGGAAACAGCCCAGAUCGCCGGUUAAGGCCCCUAAGGGUGUGCUAAGUGGAAAAGGAUGUGGGAUCGCGAAGACAGCCAGGAGGUUGGCUUAGAAGCAGCCAUCCUUGAAAGAGUGCGUAAUAGCUCACUGGUCGAGUGGUUUCGCGCCGACAAUGUAGUGGGGCUCAAGCACACCGCCGAAGCCGCGGCAAUACUUUUGUUAUUGGGUAGGGGAGCGUCGUGCAUGUUGUGAAGCGUUACCGUAAGGCGGCGUGGAGUAUGUGCGAGUGAGAAUGCAGGCAUGAGUAACGAAUUGGUAGGUGAGAAUCCUACCCGCCGGAUGACUAAGGGUUCCUGGGUCAAGUUCGUCUUCCCAGGGUGAGUCGGGACCUAAGGCGAGGCCGACAGGCGUAGUCGAUGGAUAACCAGUUGAUAUUCUGGUACCCGUAUACAUGCGCCCCUGAUAAAGCACUGAUACUAACCACCGCGGAUACGACACGUAACUAACUUUGUUGGUUGGUGUUGUUGAUGUCGUGGGGCCUGAUGUGUGGUUCAAGCGAUGGGGUGACACAGUGGGGUAGCCAAGCCGCUUAAUGGAUUGUUGGUGUAAGCGUGUAGCCGGAGGCAUAGGUAAAUCCGUGCCUUAAUUGAAGGUGAGACGUGAUGCGUAGCCCGAUUGGGGUGAAGUUGGUGAUCCCGUGCUGUCGAGAAAAGCCUCUAGCGAUGUAUGUAUAUGGCCCGUACCCUAAACCGACACAGGUAGUCAGGUUGAAAAUACUAAGGCGUUCGGGUGAACUGUGGUUAAGGAACUCGGCAAAAUGCCCCCGUAACUUCGGGAGAAGGGGGACCACAUACCGUGACAAGUCCUUGCGGCUUGAAGCGGUGUGGGGUCGCAGAGAAUAGAGGGAAGCGACUGUUUAUCAAAAACACAGGUCCAUGCGAAGACGUUAAGUUGAUGUAUAUGGACUGACGCCUGCCCGGUGCUGGAAGGUUAAGAGGACCGGUUAGUACAUCGUUGAUGUGCGAAGCUGAGAAUUUAAGCCCCAGUAAACGGCGGUGGUAACUAUAACCAUCCUAAGGUAGCGAAAUUCCUUGUCGGGUAAGUUCCGACCUGCACGAAUGGCGUAACGACUUCCCUGCUGUCUCAACCACAGGCCCGGUGAAAUUGCACUACGAGUAAAGAUGCUCGUUACGCGCGGCAGGACGAAAAGACCCCGGGACCUUCACUAUAGCUUGGUAUUGGUGUUUGGUUCGGUUUGUGUAGGAUAGGUGGGAGACUUAGAAACUAUCACGCCAGUGAUGGUGGAGUCGUUGUUGAAAUACCACUCUGAUCGGAUUGAGCACCUUAACCUUGGCCCAUGAUCUGGGUUGGGGACAGUGCCUGGUGGGUAGUUUAACUGGGGCGGUUGCCUCCCAAAAUGUAACGGAGGCGCCCAAAGGUUCCCUCAGCCUGGUUGGCAAUCAGGUGUUGAGUGUAAGUGCACAAGGGAGCUUGACUGUGAGAGUGACAGCUCAAACAGGGACGAAAGUCGGGACUAGUGAUCCGGCACCUACUUAUGGAUGUGGUGUCGCUCAACGGAUAAAAGGUACCCCGGGGAUAACAGGCUGAUCUUCCCCAAGAGUUCAUAUCGACGGGAUGGUUUGGCACCUCGAUGUCGGCUCGUCGCAUCCUGGGGCUGGAGUAGGUCCCAAGGGUUGGGCUGUUCGCCCAUUAAAGCGGCACGCGAGCUGGGUUCAGAACGUCGUGAGACAGUUCGGUCUCUAUCCGCCGCGCGCGUUGAAACUUGAAGAAGGCUGUCCCUAGUACGAGAGGACCGGGACGGACGUACCUCUAGUGUGCCAGUUGUUCCGCCAGGAGCAUCGCUGGUUGGCUACGUACGGAAGGGAUAACCGCUGAAAGCAUCUAAGCGGGAAGCCUGUUUUAAGAUGAGGUUUCACUACAAGGCCCCCUAAAGACUAUGGGGUUGAUAGGCCAGACCUGGAAGCAUUGCAAAAUGUUAAGGCUACUGGUACUAAUAGGCCAAAACAAACACACACCAAACCC
rnacentral:rRNA from 1 species